rnacentral:rRNA from 1 species
GUCGACGGGUAGCCGGCCUGAGAGGGUGACCGGCCACACUGGGACUGAGACACGGCCCAGACUCCUACGGGAGGCAGCAGUGGGGAAUAUUGCACAAUGGGCGGAAGCCUGAUGCAGCAACGCCGCGUGAGGGAUGACGGCCUUCGGGUUGUAAACCUCUUUUAGCAGGGAAGAAGCGAAAGUGACGGUACCUGCAGAAAAAGCGCCGGCUAACUACGUGCCAGCAGCCGCGGUAAUACGUAGGGCGCAAGCGUUAUCCGGAAUUAUUGGGCGUAAAGAGCUCGUAGGCGGUUUGUCGCGUCUGCUGUGAAAUCCCGAGGCUCAACCUCGGGCCUGCAGUGGGUACGGGCAGACUAGAGUGCGGUAGGGGAGAUUGGAAUUCCUGGUGUAGCGGUGGAAUGCGCAGAUAUCAGGAGGAACACCGAUGGCGAAGGCAGAUCUCUGGGCCGUAACUGACGCUGAGGAGCGAAAGGGUGGGGAGCAAACAGGCUUAGAUACCCUGGUAGUCCACCCCGUAAACGUUGGGAACUAGUUGUGGGGACCAUUCCACGGUUUCCGUGACGCAGCUAACGCAUUAAGUUCCCCGCCUGGGGAGUACGGCCGCAAGGCUAAAACUCAAAGGAAUUGACGGGGACCCGCACAAGCGGCGGAGCAUGCGGAUUAAUUCGAUGCAACGCGAAGAACCUUACCAAGGCUUGAC